rnacentral:rRNA from 1 species
CGGGACACGUGGUAUCCUGUCUGAAUAUGGGGGGACCAUCCUCCAAGGCUAAAUACUCCUGACUGACCGAUAGUGAACCAGUACCGUGAGGGAAAGGCGAAAAGAACCCCGGCGAGGGGAGUGAAAAAGAACCUGAAACCGUGUACGUACAAGCAGUGGGAGCACGCUUAGGCGUGUGACUGCGUACCUUUUGUAUAAUGGGUCAGCGACUUAUAUUCUGUAGCAAGGUUAACCGAAUAGGGGAGCCGAAGGGAAACCGAGUCUUAACUGGGCGUUAAGUUGCAGGGUAUAGACCCGAAACCCGGUGAUCUAGCCAUGGGCAGGUUGAAGGUUGGGUAACACUAACUGGAGGACCGAACCGACUAAUGUUGAAAAAUUAGCGGAUGACUUGUGGCUGGGGGUGAAAGGCCAAUCAAACCGGGAGAUAGCUGGUUCUCCCCGAAAGCUAUUUAGGUAGCGCCUCGUGAAUUCAUCUCCGGGGGUAGAGCACUGUUUCGGCAAGGGGGUCAUCCCGACUUACCAACCCGAUGCAAACUGCGAAUACCGGAGAAUGUUAUCACGGGAGACACACGGCGGGUGCUAACGUCCGUCGUGAAGAGGGAAACAACCCAGACCGCCAGCUAAGGUCCCAAAGUCAUGGUUAAGUGGGAAACGAUGUGGGAAGGCCCAGACAGCCAGGAUGUUGGCUUAGAAGCAGCCAUCAUUUAAAGAAAGCGUAAUAGCUCACUGGUCGAGUCGGCCUGCGCGGAAGAUGUAACGGGGCUAAACCAUGCACCGAAGCUGCGGCAGCGACGCUUA